UUUUGGAAACGUUUCAAUUGCUGGCUUGACGGUUGGGGCGCUGACGCGGGAGGGCGGGCAGGGCCGUGGGGCGCGCGCGGGAAGGGACUUGUGGGAAGGAAGGGAGCGGAAAGGCCGAGCGCCACCCGCCCCGGGAGUCUCCAGAGCAGCGCGCGGGGCAGACCUCCUCGGGUCCUCCGGCGCUUCGGUCUCCGGAGACGCCCGGCCUCCUGAAGGGUUCGGCUUGUCCUCCUCUGGCGCUCAGCUCCCUCUGGCGGCCGGGCUGGCAGGACCUCAGCGCCCAGCCCUUCCGUCUUGUUACGUCCAGGGUCUCACUCUGUGUCUCAGGCUGGAGUACAGUGGUGCAAUUGUAGAUGGCUGCAGCCCUCGACCUCCUGGGCUCAAGUGAUCCUCCUGCCUUAGCCUCUCGAGUAGCUGGGAGUACAGAUGCACACCACCACACCCAGCCUAGAAUGAAGAAACCUGCAGUUGGGAAGCAUGAAUUUACCACCUAUUAAGAUCUGGCUGCUGUGUGGAGAAAGAGUGAAGAUACGGAAGUUGGAGGUUCUCGUAGCAAUGCAGAAUUGUGGCUUGCAUUGUAAGAGGAGCCUGUGAAUUCAGAGGCAAGUCUGCUGAGGACCGAAUGUUCCUGUCCAUAAAAACAGAAGUCUGGCCUGGGCUCCUCUCUUGGGUGAAUUUGCAAUGCCAGAUCCUCUCUAUCAGUUUGGUUUUGUUUCUUGUAUCUCUGGGAAGGCAGGCAGACAGCACGGUCACCUGUGAAUGCAGCUACAAUUGGCUUAGCUGCCUCACUGAUAAAUGUGCCCCCAGUAAGCUACAAAGGGAUUACCAGCGUUCUCAGCAGCUAAAGGAACUGGUGAAGAUUUCCCCAGCAAAAAGUAGAAGCUCAGUGUUUCAUAGAUGAAGACUGGGGAGAUUGCAAAAGACCCAUCCAGCAGUGGUUCUCAGACCUCAGUGUGCAUCAGAAUCACCUGGAAGGCUUGUGAAAACACGUAUUGCUGGGCCACACCCCCAGAAUUUCUGGAUCAGUAAAGCUGGGAUUCUUACUUUGAGUAGCCAACUUGCAGAAUACAAUAGAAUUUUGGGAGGAGCCCCUCGAUGCCUGGCUUUACUGUUGGAGAGACAGUACAGUAUACACCAGAUGACUUAUUUGUGAACCAUGGAAACGUUUGGAAAAGAGUCUCACUUUGUCGCCCAGGCUGGAGUACAGUGGUGCGAUCUUGGCUCUCUGCAACCUCUGCCUCCCAGGUUCAAGUAAUUCUCCUGCCUCAGCCUCCCGAGUAGCUGGUACUACAGGCACACAUUUGUAGAGAUGGUGUUUCCCCAUGUCAUCCAGGCUGGUCUGGAACUCCUGGGAUCAAGUAAUCCACCCGCCUCGGCCUCCCAAAGUGCUGGGAUUACAGACGUGAGCCACCACGCCCUGCCAAUAAAAAGAUUAUCUCCAGAUGCUGGAAUGACCAGUAAUUUAUUUUCUUCCUUUUUUUUUGUCUGCACUUUCUACCAUAAUCAUAUGUUAGCUUCUUACUAAGAAGAAAAGUCAAUGUUAUUUCCCUGAAAAAGUAAUGUUGUUUGGUUAUUAAACAAAUUUAAUUUUCUAAACAAGAGUACGACAGGUAAACUGCCUACCUUAAAAGCAAACGAACACAAAUAAAUAAACUAACCAUCUUCCACUUCAGUCUCUGUCCUUUCACCAGAGUUGCUGAUCAGCCCAGAAUGGACUGAUUUGAAUUUGCUUAGUUGUUCAUUCAUUCAUUUAUUUAACAAGUAUUUAUUAAGCACUUGCUCUGUAGAAAGCACUGUGCUGGUAUUGGAAUACUGGCUUAUGUAAGUGUGAUAGUAAUGGGAUUCUGACUUAGGCCUGACUCCUGGGCCGUAAUGUUUGGAUACUAUGUAUACAUCUAACUAUAAAACGAGGGAAAAUGAAAAAAAGAGCAAAAAUGAUUUGAGGGGGGAUGGUCUCCAUUUCCUAUUACCUAUUUAUAUGUAGAUCAUCUUGGG
rnacentral:lncRNA from 1 species